rnacentral:rRNA from 1 species
UACGUAGGUCCCGAGCGUUGUCCGGAUUUAUUGGGCGUAAAGCGAGCGCAGGUGGUUUAUUAAGUCUGGUGUAAAAGGCAGUGGCUCAACCAUUGUAUGCAUUGGAAACUGGUAGACUUGAGUGCAGGAGAGGAGAGUGGAAUUCCAUGUGUAGCGGUGAAAUGCGUAGAUAUAUGGAGGAACACCGGUGGCGAAAGCGGCUCUCUGGCCUGUAACUGACACUGAGGCUCGAAAGCUGGGGGAGCGAACAGG